rnacentral:rRNA from 1 species
GAUGAACGCUAGCGGCAGGCUUAACACAUGCAAGUCGAGGGGCAGCGAGAUUGUUAGCAAUAACGAUUGUCGGCGACCGGCGCAAGGGUGCGUAACGCGUGAGCAACUUGCCCUCAUCAGGGGGAUAACCGUUGGAAACGACGACUAAUACCCCAUAGCAUCACAUUGAGGCAUCUUGGUGUGAUUAAAGAAAUUCGGAUGAGGAUAGGCUCGCGUGACAUUAGCUAGACGGCGGGGUAACGGCCCACCGUGGCUACGAUGUCUAGGGGUUCUGAGAGGAAGGUCCCCCACACUGGAACUGAGACACGGUCCAGACUCCUACGGGAGGCAGCAGUGAGGAAUAUUGGUCAAUGGUCGAGAGACUGAACCAGCCAUGCCGCGUGAAGGAGACGGCCCUAUGGGUCUUAAACUUCUUUUGUAAGGGAGCAAUAAGGAUCACGUGUGGUCUGAUGAGAGUACCUUACGAAUAAGCAUCGGCUAACUCCGU